CAUACCAUACACAAGGGAGUAAGGGGUUGCCCCGGUCGACGUACGUACUGAAGUACGGUACCCAUGCAAGGCGAAGGGUAGCAUCUCAUGCCAAUCUCUGUAUGUAACAACCAUCUUCUGCACAAUCUUCUUUAUGUUCUUAUUUAAGGGGUUGCCCCGGUCGACGUACGUACUGAAGUACGGUACCCAUGCAAGGCGAAGGGUAGCAUCUCAUGCCAAUCUCUGUAUGUAACAACCAU
rnacentral:lncRNA from 1 species